CAAUGUUGCAGUCUUUCUUAGCGACAGAGACUUGGAUCUUUUCCCUUACAAAUUCAAAUGGAUGAUCUUCACAUUCAAAAAGCACAAACCAAUCGCUAACCAUUCACUCAUGGGACAACAAGGCCAUACCAAGGAUCGAGCAAGUCAGAUUUUUAGGAAUGACUCUGGACAGUAGAAUAAAAGAUCACUAUUCAGGGGCGCCGUAGAGGACGCCUGCUCUAUUUUUCCUUAGCAUGGCUAAUUCCUUCAAUUGGAAAGGUUACAAUACAAGGCCAUCAGAGUGACAAUAAUCGACCCCAAUCAAUGCUAUGUGAGAUUCCGGUGAUCUUAUAACAUAGCAGUCCUGUUUUCUUUUCUUUUCUGGGAAAUUCUUGUAGAGGGUCGGAGGCAUAUUGAAUAAGACUGAUCACGUUAAUCCGGCUGCACCGGAACC